UGAUAAGCCUAAUUAACCAAUCCAAAUUUUUUUUCUUUGAUGUAUGAUCCCAUAGGUUCAAUUUUGUCUAAUAGUAAGAUAUACCAAUGAUCUCUAUCAUAGAUAUCACUGAAAUCUCUUUUAGUGGAUUGGAACAGUUUCACUCUAACUCAAUAUAGACCAUUAGAUCCAAAAUGAUUCUAUUGAGCUCUCACAAUCCACCAAUGACAUCUAGCAAUAUGUAGUGAUAAUCCAGC
rnacentral:lncRNA from 1 species